rnacentral:rRNA from 1 species
GACGAACGCUGGCGGCGUGCCUAAUACAUGCAAGUAGAACGCUGAAGGAGGAGCUUGCUUCUCUGGAUGAGUUGCGAACGGGUGAGUAACGCGUAGGAAACCUGCCUGGUAGCGGGGGAUAACUAUUGGAAACGAUAGCUAAUACCGCAUAAGAGUAGAUGUUGCAUGACAUUUGCUUAAAAGGUGCAAUUGCAUCACUACCAGAUGGACCUGCGUUGUAUUAGCUAGUUGGUGGGGUAACGGCUUACCAAGGCGACGAUACAUAGCCGACCUGAGAGGGUGAUCGGCCACACUGGGACUGCGCCACGGCCCAGACUCCUACGGGAGGCAGCAGUAGGGAAUCUUCGGCAAUGGACGGAAGUCUGACCGAGCAACGCCGCGUGAGUGCAGAAGGUUUUCGGAUCGUAAAGCUCUGUUGUAAGAGAAGAACGAGUGUGAGAGUGGAAAGUUCACACUGUGACGGUAUCUUACCAGAAAGGGACGGCUAACUACGUG